GACGAACGCUGGCGGCGUGCCUAAUACAUGCAAGUAGAACGCUGAAGCGAGGAGCUUGCUCUUCUUGGAUGAGUUGCGAACGGGUGAGUAACGCGUAGGUAACCUGCCUGGUAGCGGGGGAUAACUAUUGGAAACGAUAGCUAAUACCGCAUAAAAUGGAUUAUCGCAUGAUAAUCCAUUGAAAGGUGCAAAUGCAUCACUACCAGAUGGACCUGCGUUGUAUUAGCUAGUUGGUGGGGUAACGGCUCACCAAGGCGACGAUACAUAGCCGACCUGAGAGGGUGAUCGGCCACACUGGGACUGAGACACGGCCCAGACUCCUACGGGAGGCAGCAGUAGGGAAUCUUCGGCAAUGGACGGAAGUCUGACCGAGCAACGCCGCGUGAGUGAAGAAGGGUUUCGGAUCGUAAAGCUCUGUUGUAAGAGAAGAACGAGUGUGAGAGUGGAAAGUUCACACUGUGACGGUAUCUUACCAGAAAGGGACGGCUAACUACGUG
rnacentral:rRNA from 1 species